UGCCAGCAGCCGCGGUAAUACGGAGGGCGCAAGCGUUGUUCGGAAUCACUGGGCGUAAAGCGUGCGUAGGCGGCGCAGUAAGUCAGAUGUGAAAUCUCUGGGCUCAACCCGGAAACUGCAUCCGAUACUGCUGCGCUAGAGUAAUGGAGGGGUAGCUGGAAUUCUCGGUGUAGCAGUGAAAUGCGUAGAUAUCGAGAGGAACACUCGUGGCGAAGGCGAGCUACUGGACAUUUACUGACGCUGAGGCACGAAGGCCAGGGUAGCGAAAGGGAUUAGAUA
rnacentral:rRNA from 1 species